ACAUGUUGCAGUAAUGAAUUAUUAUUUACUGUGUCUUGUCACGUGAUGUGGUGAACAAAUGGCGGGCACUCUUUAUCAACAAACCAGCGGGUGUUGCAGCCAACCGACCACGGUUGGAUAUUGUGCGAGGAAUUCAGGAAUCGUCGUGCCAACUGGAAAUAUCCCAGGUGAGAAGCCAAUACUUCUCGUUCUACAGUCGUCAAAGAACAAAGGUAAAAGUACUUCACAACAGAAUGACAGUAACAAAUAUCAACGCGAAAUACGAAAACGACAGCGGGUUGAUAAUGGCUGAUCAAGAAAUUUCAUCCAAGUGAACGGCGCCAUACCUCCAUACUACAGUACCGCCGCCAUGAUGGCAACCAGAGAGUCUUCCACACUCGCAACACCAACUCCAGCGGACUCAAUCGAAUACACAACCGUGGGAACUUCUGUGCGUUUAACAUAGUAAGCAACAGGUUGCAAAACCGACCGCAGAGCGCGUAAUAAAAAUACCACAACUUGCUUAUGUUCGGGGAACCUUUCGCUGUAGUGUUAUCGCUCCAUCGAUUGUAUCACAAAUCGAAUGCUGUCCUUUGCAAUCCAAUUCAUAAUGAAUUAAACUCCCUACAAAUACAUGUCUGUGACUUGACUGGUACGUCUUCAUUACCCAAGAAAAACAUAAUUACAAGGAGACAUUUCAAUUGGAUUUCAUAUAACAGCAUUCAUAUGUGUUAUUUUUUCAUGACGUCGAUGUGAAAUGCUUUGCGCGGCCGCCACACUAGAAACGGCUGACUUUGUAGGGGGUUCUGUGGUGAUUAACUCCUUCCCUCAAAUUUUCUACCCCUUUUUACAAGUACUGUACAGACUCCUCAUGUUUGGUGCUCGACACGGUAAUAGGAAGACACAAGAAUGCGGCAAACAAACCAAACUAAUGACGAAUAAAAGCACACACCUAGCUGCACUAUAUUUUGUCGAAAAAUCGUCAGGGCAGCCUAACCAUAAAUGGGAAAAUUAGGUGGAAAUAUGUGGAUAAGAUUCAACUAGCUCAAAACACGACGAACCCACACGUGAAAAUUGAUAUUUUUUGACAUGCCGGAUAACCCUAACUAUUCAAAGAUGGACGAUCCUGUGACACGGCAA